GAUUUAGAAAUUUUCGUAUUAUAUAAUAGCAUUAGAUAAACGCUAUGAUAGAGAAAAACCUAAAAUAUCAUUUAAUUAAUGCUAUUUUAAGAAUUACGUGAGCGGGAAAAAUAAAAUCACCGGUUUCACCAGUACUUAACGGGAAUUUAGAUUUAAGCGCCAAAAAUAUUAUUUAAGCGGCUUAAUAAAACUACGAAAGACUUAUAAUAGCAUUUUUAUAAUGCUAAGAAAAGCUAUUUGAACCCCUAAACCUUAAACAUGAUUUUAAACCCUAAACACUAAUGACAACUCUUAAAACUGUAAUCUUUUUAUAUUAUAACUUCAAGUCUUAAAAUUAAACUUAAAAUUUAAUCUUCUUGAUCUUAAACUAUAAUUUCCUAACCACAUAUCCUUAAUCUUUAAUCAAUCUCUAUAUCCUAAAUCAUAACUUCAAACAUAAAUUAUACAUUAUGUGUAAACAUACAAACUUUUUAAAUGAUGACCAAACUUAAAUAUUAAUUCUUAAAAUAAAUAUCAAUUUAUUAUGUUCAAAAAUAACUUUAAACUUAAAUUCCAAAGUACAAAAUAUAAAUUUUGAAAUAAGAUAUAAGUAAGAAAAAUUAUUUACAAAACAAAUCAUCAAAGAUUGAAGAAAAAAAAAAACAAUUUAUAAAGAGUAUUUUCUUGCUACGAUUUAGCUACGAAAUCUUUUGUAGGUCUUUAUAAAAUAGCCACGAAAUGCCGCGGGUUUUUUGUACAUGCUUAAAACCCUAAACCCUAAAAUUCUUUUAAACCCUAAACCCUAAAUAUAAACCUUAAAACUCUAUUUUUUCAUAAUUUAACUUAAAUCUUAAAUUUAAAUUCAUAAUUUAAUUUCAAAUCAUAAUUUAAACCCCAAAUACUAUAUUCCAACCCCUUACUCAAAACUUUAUAUUCCAUAUACACUAAACUUUACUAUACAUAAAAUACUCUAAAUAUAAACUUCAAAACUAAAAUUUUGAAAAUUUAACUACAAAACUUAGACCUAAUAUUCAAAUCUAAUAUUUUCAUACUCUGAUCCAAAAUCUUAAAUCAUAGUCUUGAUAUUAAUCAAAUAUUUUCAAACUUAAACAUCAAUUCUUAAAAUAAAUAUAAACUUAUUAUGUUCAAAAAAGAAAACUCUAAACUUAAAUUAUAAACUCGAAAAUAGAAAAUUUUAUAUAAGGUAUAACUAAGAAAAAUUACUUAGAAAACAAAUUAUCAAAUAUUUAAGAACAAAACAAAAAUAAAAAUAGAAAAAGAAAGACAAAAUUUCUGGCCAAUCAGAUUCAAAUACAUAGAUCACACUUUUAACCAUUGGAUUAACUUAGAUCUAAAGGUAGAGAUUUAUUCAAUUUAAUUUUUAUUUUUUUCUUCUCUCUCUCGCGACAGAUCUCAUCUCAUCUCCUUCUCUGCUUUUUUUUUUCCCCGAUUCUCUCUUCACUCUAACCUCUCAUUCUCAUAUCUCAUAUCUCUCUUCUCUCUCAUCUCUCUCAACGUGUCUCUCAUCUCGCCCAUCUCUCUCAACGCCUCUCUCAUCUUACCACCACCGUGUCUCCUCCUCGUCUCACCACCACCGUUUUCCCCCUUGUCUCACCACCACCACGGUGGAGGAGCCAAGGUUCAUGGUGGCUGGAGGAAGCAAGGUUCAUGGCUGCUGGAAGAGGGACAAGGCUAUGGAGGAGGCGGUAGGAGUUUUUUCUUUAGGUUUAGGUUAGGUCUGGUUAAGUGUAAACCGAGUUAGGAAAAUUGUAGUGGUCUGAUUUUAUUUUUUAAUUUCUGGUUUAGUUUUGUAAACCAGAAUUAAUCUGUAAACCAAAUUUAAUUUAUUAAUAAAAUUUAUUUUAUUUUCAGUUACAAAAUAAUUUUCGAUUUAAUUUAUAA